rnacentral:tRNA from 1 species
GGUGACUCAGUGGUAGAAUGCUUGCCUUGCACGCAUAAGGCCCUGGGUUCAAUUCUCAGCACCA